GGUAUGUAAAGCUCUAUCAGCAGGGAAGAAAAUGACGGUACCUGACUAAGAAGCCCCGGCUAACUACGUGCCAGCAGCCGCGGUAAUACGUAGGGGGCAAGCGUUAUCCGGAAUUACUGGGUGUAAAGGGUGCGUAGGUGGUAUGGCAAGUCAGAAGUGAAAACCCAGGGCUUAACUCUGGGACUGCUUUUGAAACUGCCAGACUAGAGUGCAGGAGAGGUAAGCGGAAUUCCUAGUGUAGCGGUGAAAUGCGUAGAUAUUAGGAGGAACAUCAGUGGCGAAGGCGGCUUACUGGACUGAAACUGACACUGAGGCACGAAAGCGUGGGGAGCAAACAGGAUUAGAUACCCUGGUAGUCCCACGCCGUAAACGCAUGAAUAUUAGGUGUCGGGGCCGUAGAGGUCUUCGGUGCCGCAGCCAACGCAGUAAGUAUUCCACCUGGGGAGUA
rnacentral:rRNA from 1 species